rnacentral:rRNA from 1 species
UACAGAGGUCUCAAGCGUUGUUCGGAAUCACUGGGCGUAAAGGGUGCGUAGGCCGCACGGUAAGUCAGAUGUGAAAGCCCGGAGCUCAACUCCGGAAUGGCAUCCGAUACUGCCGUGCUCGAGGACUGAAGAGGAGUCUGGAAUUCACAGUGGAGCAGUGAAAUGCGUAGAUAUUGUGAGGAACACUAGUGGCGAAGGCGAGACUCUGGACAGUUCCUGACGCUGAGGCACGAAGGCCAGGGGAGCAAACGGG